UACGUAGGGGGCUAGCGUUGUCCGGAAUCAUUGGGCGUAAAGCGCGUGUAGGCGGUCCGGUAAGUCCGCUGUGAAAGUCGGGGGCUCAACCCUCGAAUGCCGGUGGAUACUGUCGGGCUAGAGUGCGGAAGAGGCGAGUGGAAUUCCUGGUGUAGCGGUGAAAUGCGCAGAUAUCAGGAGGAACACCUAUUGCGAAGGCAGCUCGCUGGGACGUAACUGACGCUGAGACGCGAAAGCGUGGGAGCAAACAGG
rnacentral:rRNA from 1 species